CCUACGGGGGGCAGCAGUGAGGAAUAUUGGUCAAUGGACGAGAGUCUGAACCAGCCAAGUAGCGUGAAGGAUGACUGCCCUAUGGGUUGUAAACUUCUUUUGUCAAGGGACAAAAUCAGGCUCGAGAGCCUGACCGAGGGUACUUGAAGAAAAAGCAUCGGCUAACUCCGUGCCAGCAGCCGCGGUAAUACGGAGGAUGCGAGCGUUAUCCGGAUUUAUUGGGUUUAAAGGGUGCGUAGGCGGACUGUUAAGUCAGCGGUAAAAGCCCGGGGCGCAACCCCGGCGAGCCGUUGAAACUGGCUGUCGUGGGAUGUCGAGAGGUAUGCGGAAUGCGCAGUGUAGCGGUGAAAUGCUUAGAUAUUGCGCAGAACUCCGAUUGCGAAGGCAGCAUACCGGCGGCGAUCUGACGCUGAGGCACGAAAGCGUGGGUAUCGAACAGGAUUAGAUACCCCAGUAGUC
rnacentral:rRNA from 1 species